rnacentral:rRNA from 1 species
UCCGUAGGGUGAACCUGCGGAGGGAUCAUUACACAAAUAUGAAGGCGGGCUGGAACCUCUCGGGGUUACAGCCUUGCUGAAUUAUUCACCCUUGUCUUUUGCGUACUUCUUGUUUCCUUGGUGGGUUCGCCCACCACUAGGACAAACAUAAACCUUUUGUAAUUGCAAUCAGCGUCAGUAACAAAUUAAUAAUUACAACUUUCAACAACGGAUCUCUUGGUUCUGGCAUCGAUGAAGAACGCAGCGAAAUGCGAUAAGUAGUGUGAAUUGCAGAAUUCAGUGAAUCAUCGAAUCUUUGAACGCACAUUGCGCCCUUUGGUAUUCCAAAGGGCAUGCCUGUUCGAGCGUCAUUUGUACCCUCAAGCUUUGCUUGGUGUUGGGCGUCUUGUCUCUAGCUUUGCUGGAGACUCGCCUUAAAGUAAUUGGCAGCCGGCCUACUGGUUUCGGAGCGCAGCACAAGUCGCACUCUCUAUCAGCAAAGGUCUAGCAUCCAUUAAGCCUUUUUUUCAACUUUUGACCUCGGAUCAGGUAGGGAUACCCGCUGAACUUAAGCAUAUCAAAAGGCGGAGGA